rnacentral:rRNA from 1 species
GACGAACGCUGGCGGCGUGCCUAAUACAUGCAAGUAGAACGCUGAAGGAGGAGCUUGCUUCUCUGGAUGAGUUGCGAACGGGUGAGUAACGCGUAGGUAACCUGCCUGGUAGCGGGGGAUAACUAUUGGAAACGAUAGCUAAUACCGCAUAAUAGUAGAUGUUGCAUGACAUUUGCUUAAAAGGUGCAAUUGCAUCACUACCAGAUGGACCUGCGUUGUAUUAGCUAGUUGGUGAGGUAACGGCUCACCAAGGCGACGAUACAUAGCCGACCUGAGAGGGGGAUCGGCCACACUGGGACUGAGACACGGCCCAGACUCCUACGGGAGGCAGCAGUAGGGAAUCUUCGGCAAUGGACGCAAGUCUGACCGAGCAACGCCGCGUGAGUGAAGAAGGUUUUCGGAUCGUAAAGCUCUGUUGUAAGAGAAGAACGAGUGUGAGAGUGGAAAGUUCACACUGUGACGGUAUCUUACCAGAAAGGGACGGCUAACUACGUG